GUUUGAGAGAAAAAAGUGCAUGAGGUUUGGUUAAACAAACUUGAGCCCGUGAGUGUGAAGGAGGUAGGCUUAGCUCAAAGUCAAAUAAUUGAAAUAUCGUGGUACUAGUACCAUGGUUGAACCAGUGACCUUGGGCUCACCUCCAAAUAACCCAUCUCCAGGGCAGUCGAAGUCAGUAUUUACCUGCAUAUUUGAUUGGUGAUCAGUGUGGAAAUAUUAGCCAAACUACUCCUAGACUAUGGUCAACAGUAGGAACUCCUACAAAAGCACGUGUCAAUUCAUCGUCACCUUCCACACCAGGUAUUUACUCUCCUGCUGCUGCUAGGACUGGGUUUGGCAAAACUAACUUAUCUAUGAGCAACCAGGGAGAUAUUACUGCAAGGAACCUUUUAGGUCGUCAGCCCACUGAUAAAGCAGGAGGACCACCUGUCCAGGGUCUUUUUGAUACUUUAGCCACUUCUCAGUCACAGACAUCUGGCAUAUCUAGGGUUCCUUGCACUUCUUUAUUCAGUUCUCCUUCUCCAGAAGGUCAAAUACAAAAUACCAGAGUACUGACACCUACUAAGUGCAUGAAUCAAGGUCAAGCCAGCAAGCUUUUAACAUCACCAGCACAGAUAGAUCCAUUUUAUACCCAAGGUGACUCCUUGUCUCCUGAUGAAGAACUUGAUGGGACGUGGGUAACAGUUUUUGGAUACCCUUCUGCUUCAGCUUCAUAUAUUCUACAACAGUUUUCACUCUAUGGUACCGUUGUUGAACAUCAGGUCUCAGCUUGUGGCAAUUGGAUGCACAUUCACUUCCAGUCAAAACUUCAAGCUAAGAAAGCUCUCAGUAAAAAUGGCAAAGUUUUUGGGGGAAGUAUCAUGGUUGGUGUUAAGCCUUGUAUAGAAAAAGUAAAAACUGAUGGAUGCAUCUACAAAAGAAAAUUCUAUGCUAGAAAUGAGCACGUCUUCCUUCCAAAGGAAUGAGACACUAAACAGAAGUAGUCGAAUAGCAAACAUCAGGCCUCUCACUCAGGCUUACAAAACAGCGAUUAGUGAUUAUGAGGUAGUGUCCCAGAGUCAAACACCACAGAAGACAAACAACUUUAUAUCAAAAGCUAUGGAAUAUGUUUUUGGAUGGUGACCUGAUAAAUGCUUAGUCCAAUUUUGAACUUAUGGGGUUUUUAUUGUCUAUGUUAGGGAAAUAAUAAGUUUUUCAAGUACUGUUCUUGACAAGCAGGUGGUGAAAUGGAGAGCUAGAGUUAGUGAAACUGUAAAUAACAGACUACAAUUCAUGUUCUUUAUAACCACAUGUACUUUUUUAGCAAAAUAAAACUUUUUGGGGUGCUGGUGCUGUGUAAUAAUGCCUUUGAACUGUAAUUGUGUAAAAUAAUUGUUAAAAAAAAUCAAACAUUGUUUGUUAACUUCUCUGUGACAAUCAUCUAGUACAAUUUGAAUAUUCAUAUCAUAUGUAUAUAUUAUAUAGACCACAUUGUUGUACCCUUGACCUAUGAUAGAUCUUUCAGUGAUAAUGUACUCCAAAAGGAAUCUUGUUAUGCUUAUUCUUAUUACAAAAUCCUUACAAUGAUUCUUUUCUAUAUUGAUUUGCACCUAAAAUGGAAAUAAAGAAUUUUUUAUCAGAUUA
rnacentral:misc_RNA from 1 species